CGGUCUUCAAAUUUCCAAACUCCAAAUCAAAAUCAAUUAACUUCAAAAUCUACAUAUAAACCCUAAAUAUUCAAAGUGAAAUUAAAUAGCCAUGAAACAUAGUUUCAAAUAAUUAUCAUGAGAUUAUUGAUAAAUGCAACACGAGGAACACAAUUCUAACAAGAAAAUCAAGAAAAGAACAGAGGCUAACCUUGUCGGAGCUAGUCCGACGUUCUGCAACUUUCGGCAUUGUCUCAGGUAAGCUUUCUU
rnacentral:lncRNA from 1 species